rnacentral:rRNA from 1 species
GGGUGGUAAUGCCGGAUGCUCCAGUUGGAUGCAUGUCCUUCUGGGAAAGAUUCAUCGGUAUGGGAUGGGGUCGCGUCCUAUCAGCUUGAUGGCGGGGUAACGGCCCACCAUGGCUUCGACGGGUAGCCGGCCUGAGAGGGCGACCGGCCACAUUGGGACUGAGAUACGGCCCAGACUCCUACGGGAGGCAGCAGUGGGGAAUAUUGCACAAUGGGCGCAAGCCUGAUGCAGCGACGCCGCGUGCGGGAUGACGGCCUUCGGGUUGUAAACCGCUUUUGACUGGGAGCAAGCCCUUCGGGGUGAGUGUACCUUUCGAAUAAGCACCGGCUAACUACGUGCCAGCAGCCGCGGUAAUACGUAGGGUGCAAGCGUUAUCCGGAAUUAUUGGGCGUAAAGGGCUCGUAGGCGGUUCGUCGCGUCCGGUGUGAAAGUCCAUCGCUUAACGGUGGAUCCGCGCCGGGUACGGGCGGGCUUGAGUGCGGUAGGGGAGACUGGAAUUCCCGGUGUAACGGUGGAAUGUGUAGAUAUCGGAAAAGAACA